rnacentral:rRNA from 1 species
AGGGGCAUCACGAGGUAGCAAUACUUUGGUGGCGACCGGCGCACGGGUGAGUAACACGUAUCCAACCUGCCGUCUACUCUUGGACAGCCUUCUGAAAGGAAGAUUAAUACAAGAUGGCAUCAUGAGUCCGCAUGUUCACAUGAUUAAAGGUUUACCGGUGUAAGAUGGGGAUGCGUUCCAUUAGAUAGUAGGCGGGGUAACGGCCCACCAAGACUACGAUGGAUAGGGGUUCUGAGAGGAAGGUCCCCACAUUGGAACUGAGACACGGUCCAAACUCC